UGAAAUCUCACCAGGCCCGGACACUGGAAGGAUUGACAGAUUGAUAGCUCUUUCUUGAUUCGGUGCGUGGUGGUGCAUGGCCGUUCUUAGUUGGUGGAGUGAUUUGUCUGGUUAAUUCCGUUAACGAACGAGACCUCGACCUGCUAAAUAGAGCGACGAAUCCUUGUGAUUCGUUGGUACUUCUUAGAGGGACUGUUGGUGCCUAGCCAAUGGAAGUUCGAGGCAAUAA
rnacentral:rRNA from 1 species